CUCACUUUUCUGGUAUUUAGCUAAAUAAUUCGCAUGCCAGACUGUACGCACCGCAGACCCCGUCGUCUGAAGAUCGCGUUUACUCGUAACUCAGCGGCAAACACGAAAGUGUUCAGUUGUGAUCGGAAUUAUUAAUUAAUAUUCUUGCACCUUCCGAAACUGUGUCGGGAAUCAGGCCAUAAACUAGUGCACAAUCGAUGGGAUGGGAGUACGAUGAGCGAUGGAUGAGUAGGGGACCGACCGCGACCGCGAACGAGGACAGUCCCCAGGUCCAUGUUCACGUCCAUGUCCAAUAUGGCAGGCAGGUCCGCAGCCAUGACCGUGACACAGGAGAAAAAAGCAAGCAAUGAUGGAAGCGGGGAACGGGACGAGUACGUGAAGUGGGGAUAGGAAGAAGGAGUAGCACAAGCAGCAAAAAACAAAAGAAAAAACAAACAGAAGUCAUGAGAUCGACCACAAGAGCUUCUGUUAAAAAGAGCGUCGCCCUAACUGUUAACCACAACAAGUCAAGGGCUUCCUAUACGCGCCCUCACCCCUUUUAAAAAUCUUGCUCUGAAUCAAUAUGAACGAAUUUAAGGUGAUGCCUUUUAAGAAGGCGCUCUCCCAAAAUCAGCAGAUUUCGUUGCAGUUAUGUAUGUAUGUUCAGUCAUAGACAUUCUGAGAGAGAGAGGCGGACACAAUAGGCAUCACCUAAUAUUGUGACAAAAGUGUUAGUGCGCUCCCAAAGCGCACCGCUACAUAGAGAGUAAAAACAGUUAGCAUCGCAGCUAAUAGCGGAGAGAGCGAAAAUCCACACGCCACAGAUGGAAGAGCGGCACUGUUAAGAUGAAGAGAUGGUACGAUGCAAAUGGGCGCUUAAGAGAAAAAACUUUCGCUUGCCGAAUUUGCAUUUUCCGAAUCAAUUGUCAUUGCCAAAGAUGGAGAACCUUCGCAUUUGUCACUGGAAAACGAAGAUGGCUAUCGAACUGAAGCCAAAGGAAUAGUUACAAAAGGGUCGCUGUAAGCUGUUGGACAAUGAACUAUAAUCGAAAUUGAAGUGCUGUUACCCAACGAAAGAUGGUUCGAGACUGCUCCUGUCACAGGACCGCUUCCGUCUUGCCACGCGAAUCGAGCUGCCUCCCCGACGACGGAACGCCCAUUUCAGCUGGUACAGAAGUUUAACAGUGGUUCGUGUCUCGGCUGAGACGAACAAUAGACAGAGACAACCAUGGAGUCGACUGUGAAGACAAUGCUCAGCCAGAGAGGGAUGAACAUAUGGAGAGCUCUGUGCACCAGAAGAGUCACCAAUACAGCUGGUGGAAGUGCAUGCCUGCUGCCAACAAUGCAGCUCGCUGUGUGGAAUGAUGUGAAGCAUUUGUACCUAGCGGCGGCAUCGGCUGCAGGAAAGGAGACUGGCGGACCAGGACCCCUUCAGAUCGUGGAACAUAACGGCGACUAAAUGUAACAAUAGAAAAUAGAUUAAUUGCUGAGCAGCUUUAGACGCCAGCUUGCUCGAUAGUGAUAGCAUUUUUACGAGUGUUUAGUCUUAAUUAAUUAUUA